rnacentral:misc_RNA from 1 species
AAAGUCGUAACAAGGUUUCCGUAGGUGAACCUGCGGAAGGAUCAUUAUCACGUAUCCACGUAUAAACCAAUCGUGCACUGUUUUAGCCUUUGGAAGUUUAGCUGAGUAGUGUAUAGUUUCGUUGUGUGGUUGUUGAAACUACUACUUGAUUUGAAUGUUCCUCCGGGAUCAUUCAUAACAUGGCUUUCCUUCUGAAGCGUAUUUAAAUCACACUUUAAAAUUUAUUAACCACUUGAACCUAUUAAUUUAUCUUUGUUUGAACUGAUUUGUUUCUUACUCGAUGCCCCAAAAAGGCGUUGAGAAGAAAUUCAUUACGAAACAAAAAAACAACUCUUAGCAACGGAUAUCUUGGUUCUC